CCGUAACUAUAACGGUCCUAAGGUAGCGAAAUUCCUUGUCGGGUAAGUUCCGACCCGCACGAAAGGCGUAAUGAUUUGAGCGCUGUCUCGACAAUGCAUCCGGUGAAAUUGAAGUACCAGUGAAGAUGCUGGUUACCUGCGCCAGGACGGAAAGACCCCAUGGAGCUUUACUCCAGUCUGGUACUGGGACUCGGUAUUGCAUGUACAGGAUAGGUGGGAGGCUAGGAGAUGGUAACGCCAGUUGCCAUGGAGCCGCUGUUGGGAUACCACCCUUGCAGUAUUGGGUUUCUAACCAGCCGCCGUGACCCGGCGGUGGGACAAUGCCAGACGGGGAGUUUGACUGGGGCGGUCGCCUCCGAAAGGGUAUCGGAGGCGCUCAAAGGUUCCCUCAGAAUGGUUGGAAACCAUUCGAAGAGUGCAAAGGCAGAAGGGAGCUUGACUGCGACACCGACGGGUGGAGCAGGUACGAAAGUAGGGCUUAGUGAUCCGGUGGUAUUAAGUGGGAAUGCCAUCGCUCAACGGAUAAAAGCUACCCUGGGGAUAACAGGCUUAUCACUCCCAAGAGUUCACAUCGACGGAGUGGUUUGGCACCUCGAUGUCGGCUCAUCGCAUCCUGGGGCUGUAGUAGGUCCCAAGGGUUGGGCUGUUCGCCCAUUAAAGCGGUACGCGAGCUGGGUUCAGAACGUCGUGAGACAGUUCGGUCCCUAUCCGGCGUGGGCGUAGGAUAUCUGAGAGGAGCUGUCCUUAGUACGAGAGGACCGGGAUGGACGGGCCGCUGGUGCAUCGGUUAGACUGCCAAGUCUACGGCCGAGUAGCCAAGCCCGGAAGGGAUAAACGCUGAAGGCAUCUAAGCGUGAAGCCCCCCUUAAGAUGAGAUAUCCCAUUCGAAAGAAGUAAACCCCCUUGAAGACGACGAGGUAGAUAGGGCAGAGGUGGAAGUGCAGUAAUGCAUGGAGCUGACUGUUACUAAUCGGGUGAGGGCUUGACCAA
rnacentral:rRNA from 1 species